AAACCAACAGGGAUUGCCCCAGUAACGGCGAGUGAAGCGGCAACAGCUCAAAUUUGAAAUCUGGCCCCCCGGCCCGAGUUGUAAUUUGGAGAGGAUGCUUUUGGCACGGCGCCGUCCGAGUUCCUUGGAACAGGACGCCACAGAGGGUGAGAGCCCCGUACGGACGGACGCCUAGCCUCUACAAAGCUCCUUCGACGAGUCGAGUAGUUUGGGAAUGCUGCUCAAAAUGGGAGGUAAAUUUCUUCUAAAGCUAAAUACCGGCCAGAGACCGAUAGCGCACAAGUAGAGUGAUCGAAAGAUGAAAAGCACUUUGAAAAGAGGGUUAAAAAGUACGUGAAAUUGUUGAAAGGGAAGCGCCUGUGACCAGACUUGCGCCCCGUGGACCAUCCGGCGUUCUCGCCGGUGCACUCCGCGGGGCGCAGGCCAGCAUCGGUUCUCCUAGGGGGAUAAAGGCCGCGGGAACGUAGCUCCUUCGGGAGUGUUAUAGCCCGUGGUGGCAUGCCCCUGGGGGGACCGAGGA
rnacentral:rRNA from 1 species